rnacentral:rRNA from 1 species
UACGGGGGGAGCAAGCGUUGUUCGGAUUUACUGGGCGUAAAGGGCGCGUAGGCGGCGUGACAAGUCACUUGUGAAAUCUCCGGGCUUAACCCGGAGCGGCCAAGUGAUACUGUCGUGCUAGAGUGCGGAAGGGGCUACUGGAAUUCUCGGUGUAGCGGUGAAAUGCGUAGAUAUCGAGAGGAACACCGAUUGCGAAGGCAGCUCGCUGGGACGUUACUGACGCUGAGACGCGAAAGCGUGGGGAGCAAACAGG